GAUGAACGCUUGCGGCGUGCCUAAUACAUGCAAGUCGAGCGAACGGACGAGAAGCUUGCUUCUCUGAUGUUAGCGGCGGACGGGUGAGUAACACGUGGAUAACCUACCUAUAAGACUGGGAUAACUUCGGGAAACCGGAGCUAAUACCGGAUAAUAUUUUGAACCGCAUGGUUCAAAAGUGAAAGACGGUCUUGCUGUCACUUAUAGAUGGAUCCGCGCUGCAUUAGCUAGUUGGUAAGGUAACGGCUUACCAAGGCAACGAUGCAUAGCCGACCUGAGAGGGUGAUCGGCCACACUGGAACUGAGACACGGUCCAGACUCCUACGGGAGGCAGCAGUAGGGAAUCUUCCGCAAUGGGCGAAAGCCUGACGGAGCAACGCCGCGUGAGUGAUGAAGGUCUUCGGAUCGUAAAACUCUGUUAUUAUGGAAGAACAUAUGUGUAAGUAACUGUGCACAUCUUGACGGUACCUAAUCAGAAAGCCACGGCUAACUACGUG
rnacentral:rRNA from 1 species